GACGAACGCUGGCGGCGUGCUUAACACAUGCAAGUCGAACGGAAAGGUCCUGCUUUUGUGGGCUGCUCGAGUGGCGACCGGGUGAGUAACACGUGAGUAACCAGUCACUGACUUUGGUAUAACUUCAGGCAACUGGGGCUAAUACCGGAAAGGAGCUACUGCUGAAUGGUGGGGGUUGGUAAGAUUCGGAGGUUGGGGAUGGACUGGCGGUCGAUCAGCUCGUUGGUGGGGUAGUGGCUUAGCAAGGGGAUGAUGCUUAGCUGGUCUGAGAGGAUGAUGAGCGACAGUGGGAGUGAGACACGGCCCAGAGUCCUAAGGGAGGCAGCAGUGGGGAAUAUUGGACAAUGGGCGAAAGCCUGAUCCAGCAAUGCCGAGUGAGUGAUGAAGGCCUUAGGGUUGUAAAGCUCUUUUAACAGGGAUGAUAAUGACAGUACCUGGAGAAUAAGCCCCGGCUAACUCCGUG
rnacentral:rRNA from 1 species